AGUGAACGCUGGCGGUAGGCCUAACACAUGCAAGUCGAACGGCAGCACAGUAAGAGCUUGCUCUUACGGGUGGCGAGUGGCGGACGGGUGAGGAAUACAUCGGAAUCUACUUUUUCGUGGGGGAUAACGUAGGGAAACUUACGCUAAUACCGCAUACGACCUACGGGUGAAAGCAGGGGAUCUUCGGACCUUGCGCGAUUGAAUGAGCCGAUGUCGGGUUAGCUAGUUGGCGGGGUAAAGGCCCACCCAGGCGACGAUCCGUAGCUGGUGUGAGUGGAUGAUCAGCCACAUGGGAACGGAGACACGGUCCAGACGCCUACGGGAGGCAGCAGUGGGGAAUAGUGGGCAAUGGGCGCAAGCCUGGUCCAGCCAUACCGCGUGGGUGAAGAAGGCCUUCGGGUUGUAAAGCCCUUUUGUUGGGAAAGAAAAGCAGCAGGUUAAUACCCCGCUGUUCUGACGGUACCCAAAAAAUAAGCACCGGCUAACUUCGUG
rnacentral:rRNA from 1 species